GUGAACCGUAUCAACCUUUUUAAAUUGGGGGCUUCCGUCUGGCCGGCCGGUUUUCGGCUGGCUGGGUGGCGGCUCUAUCAUGGCGACCGCUUGGGCCUCGGCCUGGGCUAGUAGCUUCUCUUUUAAACCCAUUCCUAAUGACUGAAUAUACUGUGGGGACGAAAGUCUCUGCUUUUAACUAGAUAGCAACUUUCAGCAGUGGAUGUCUAGGCUCGCACAUCGAUGAAGAACGCUGCGAACUGCGAUACGUAAUGCGAAUUGCAGGAUUCAGUGAGUCAUCGAAAUUUUGAACGCAUAUUGCACUUCCGGGUUAGUCCUGGGAGUAUGCCUGUAUCAGUGUCCGUACACUAAACUUGGCUCCCUUCCUUCCGUGUAGUCGGUGGAUGGGGACGCGCAGAUGUGAAGUGUCUUGCGGCUGGUCUUCGGUCCGGCUGCGAGUCCUUUGAAAUGUACUAAACUGUACUUCUCUUUGCUCGAAAAGCGUGACGUUGCUGGUUGUGGAGGCUGCCUGUGUGGCAUGUCGGCGACCGGUUUGUCUGCUGCGGCGUUUAAUGGAGGAGUGUUCGAUUCGCGGUAUGGUUGGCUUCGGCUGAACAGACGCUUAUUGGGUGCUUUUCCUGCUGUG
rnacentral:rRNA from 1 species